rnacentral:tRNA from 3 species
AAAGAAUUAGUUAAUAAAUAACAUAAAUAUGUCAAAUUUAAAUUAUUAUAAAAUAAUAUUCUUUU